GUGUUAUUUCAGUGUGAUUUAAAUUUGCAUUUCCUUAAGGACUAACAUUGAGUACAUUUUCAUGUCUUUUAGUUAUCAUUUUGAUGAAGUCUUAUUUAUUAAUUUUUCUUUAUGCUUUGUGUUUGUAAGAACCUGUGGUCACAAAUUUUUGCCUACCUCAAGAAUUUCUAUUUUUUUGUACUUCUAGAAAUCUUAUAUGAUUAACUCUCAAGUUUAGGCUUUAAAAUUUAUUUUGGGAUAAUUUUUGUGUUCCGUGUGAAGUAAGGCUGAGGUUCUUUUUUUUUCUCUAUGUAUUCAACUGUUGCAGUACUAUCUGAUGGGGAAAAAAUCCUUUCCCCACUGAUUUACUUUAGCAGCUUUGUCAAAAAUCAAAUGACUACAUGUGUGUUGGUAUGCUUCUGGAUUCUAUCUGUUUUAUUGCUACAUAUGCUUAUCUUUUUGUUAACAUUUUGAUCAAAAUGACUUUAGUAAACUCUGAAAACAAGUAACAUGUGUGUUCCAAACUUGUUCUUUUUCUAGGUUAAUUUCUGCCCGAAGUAUUGAUGAAGUUACCACUAGGAUUCUAUUUAAUCUGCAAAUCAACUUCAGGAUAAUCAACAACUUUAAAACAUUGAGUUCUGGGCUGGGGAUGUGGCUCAAGCGGUAGCGCGCUCACCUGGCAUGCGUGCGGCCCGGGUUCGAUCCUCAGCACCACAUACAAACAAAGAUGUUGUGUUCGCCGAGAACUAAAAAAAAAAUAAAUAUUAAAAUUCUCUCUCUCUCUCUCUCUCUUUAAAAAAAAAACAACAUUGAGUUCUGUUAUCCAUGAACAUUGUAUGUCUUCCAUUUAGUUAGAUCUUAUAUUCUUUUCACCAUGUUUCAUAGUUUUCAGGGUAGAGAUCUCUACAGUUUAUUAAGUUGAUUCCAAGUUUUUUUUUUUAGCUUUAUGCCAUUGCAAGUAGCAUUUUUAUUUUUAUAUUCUUAACUAUUCAUUUAUUUAUUAUAGUACUGGGAAUCAAACCCAGGGGCCCACGCAUGCCAGGCAAGUACUCUACCACUGAGCUACAUCCCCCUGCU
rnacentral:lncRNA from 1 species